GUGCUCGCUUCGCAGCACAUAUACUAAAAAUUGGACAGACACAGAGAAGAUUAGCAUGGCCCCCUGCGCAAGGAUGACACGCAAAUUCGUCAAGCGUUCCAUGUUUUA
rnacentral:snRNA from 1 species